rnacentral:Y_RNA from 1 species
GGCUAGUCUGAUGGUAAUGGGUUUAUCAGAACUUAUUAACAUUAGUGUCACUAAAGUUGGUAUUCAACCCCCCACUGCUAAAUUUGACUGGCAAAA